CCCCAGAAACCUAAUCAGUAGGCUUUGGCCUCCACUGUAAGGAUCCGGUUAGGUCCAACCAUUAACAUGACCAUACUUGGUGCAUCUAACCAACGAAUGAUUAAGUCCAACUUUGGUUGGCUCACCUAACCACCAUUAGAGAGAUACUUUCAAGUCGUCAUAUGAUGAGUGAUAAUUUCAUUAGUCAACAAGCACCAGGCCUUUG
rnacentral:lncRNA from 1 species